CCGUCGUGGGCGUAGGAAAUUGAGAGGAGCUGUCCUUAGUACGAGAGGACCGGGAUGGACAUACCUCUGGUGUACCAGUUGUCGUGCCAACGGCAUAGCUGGGUAGCUAUGUAUGGACGGGAUAAGUGCUGAAAGCAUCUAAGCAUGAAGCCCCCCUCAAGAUGAGAUUUCCCAACUUCGGUUAUAAGAUCCCUCGAAGAUGACGAGGUUAAUAGGUUCGAGGUGGAAGCGUGGUGACACGUGGAGCUGACGAAUACUAAUCGAUCGAAGACUUAAUCAA
rnacentral:rRNA from 1 species